UUUCCGUAGGUGAACCUGCGGAAGGAUCAUUAUUGAAUGAAACACUUCUGGCUUUAUGCUGUUGUGCUGGCCCUUUGGGCAAUGUGCACACGGCUCUGGUCACUUGUUUCUUCUGUUCCACCUGUGCACUGCCUGUAGACACGCUGUGUCUAUGAUAUUUGUUAACACACAACAAUGUUAGUUGGCAUGUUAUAUAUAAUAAUAAAAUAUACAACUUUCAACAACGGAUCUCUUGGCUCUCGCAUCGAUGAAGAACGUAGC
rnacentral:misc_RNA from 1 species